AUACAUCCGAUGAUUACCAAGUAGGUGACUGGAACCAAAGCAAAUGCGAGACAAGUCUAUUCAUGCUAAAAUAUUGGAUUGAUUUAUAUAAAA